AUGGAAGGUUUAAGUACUUCAACGCAAAAAAGGACUCAAAGUCCAACUGUGGGAUAUUUGCAUGUUGUUCAACAUGCAGAGGUGUUAAAGAAAUCAAAGACAGUUACAGGGGGAGCCAAUAAUGUGAAGAGUCCACAAAAGGGAAAAAGUAGUGCAAACACCAAUUUGAUCACAUCUUCAUCCUUGUUCAUGGUGGUAUUUGUUUCAUUUUAG